AGUCCAGCUGUGUGUGUGCUCGGCCUCCUGGAGAAGCUGCGCACCUGGGUCCCCUGUGGUGUGGCUCUGAGGGUGUCAGAGCACCAGUUGGGCCAGCCUCCCCAUCGUCUCCCGACAAGGAAGAGAGGUGAGUUGGUGUGCGCUCUCCUGCAGGCACUCCCUCCCCGAAGAUGCUGGCAAGUACUUUGACAAGGAGAGCAGAGUCCUGGAGGCUCCGAUGACCAUCUGGGUGGCCGACCAGAUAAAGCCAGUGGGCUUCACCGUGCAGGCCAUCGUCACCACCUCUGACCUGGAGCUCAGCCCCUCGGAGCUGGACUUUGGCCACUGCACCAUCUACGAGGCCAUCAGGGCCGAGAUCACUCUCUACAACCACUC
rnacentral:lncRNA from 1 species